GACGAACGCUGGCGGCGUGCUUAACACAUGCAAGUCGAACGGAAAGGCCCUGCUUUUGUGGGGUGCUCGAGUGGCGAACGGGUGAGUAACACGUGAGUAACCUGCCCUUGACUUUGGGAUAACUUCAGGAAACUGGGGCUAAUACCGGAUAGGAGCUCCUGCUUGGUGGUGGUUGGAAAGAUUCGGCGGUUGGGGAUGGUCUCGCGGCUUAUCAGCUUGUUGGUGGGGUAGUGGCUUACCAAGGCUUUGACGGGUAGCCGGCCUGAGAGGGUGACCGGCCACAUUGGGACUGAGAUACGGCCCAGACUCCUACGGGAGGCAGCAGUGGGGAAUAUUGCACAAUGGGCGGAAGCCUGAUGCAGCAACGCCGCGUGCGGGAUGACGGCCUUCGGGUUGUAAACCGCUUUCGCCUGUGACGAAGCGUGAGUGACGGUAAUGGGUAAAGAAGCACCGGCUAACUACGUG
rnacentral:rRNA from 1 species